rnacentral:rRNA from 1 species
AUGUACUCAAAUAUACAAUUAUUAAAAAAAUGUAAAUAUUUUCAACACGGACAUGGUUUUAAACGGGUCUUUGCGCCAUUUGGCGCAACUGGUCAUCUAGUGACCAUAAUGGCCCAGUCAACCGAAGAUGGAGAGGAUACCAAAAGAGGAACCUCCGGCGCAACAGUAGACAUAGCAGAACACGAAGGCCGCUCCCCUCACUACCACAGCAAAAUCAACACACAACAUAGAAGAUUCGGCCACAAUGGCAGGAACAACACAUCAGCCACUCCCUCUACCAUGCCCAUGACCACGGGAAGCAGGAGCCAUAGAUGCACCACACGAAAGAAAAUCGUCCGAGACCACAGGAGCUUGGAUCAGAAUGGGAGGAAAAACAAAGCAAUCACUCCCCCUACAUUGGGCCACGACCAUGGCAUGAAGAAGCAACCAUAG